UACGGGGGGAGCAAACGGUUGUUCGGAAUUACUGGGCGUAAAGGGCGCGUAGGCGGGAUUGCAAGUCGGUCGUGAAAUCCCUCGGCUCAACCGAGGAACGUCGAUCGAUACUGCUGUUCUUGAGGAUUGCAGAGGAGACGUGGAAUUCCCGGAUGUAGCGGUGGAAAUGACGUAGAUAUCGGGAGGAACACCUGUGGCGAAGGCGGCCCCCUGGUUGGAUACUGACGCUGAUACGCGAAAGCGUGGGGAGCAAACAGG
rnacentral:rRNA from 1 species